CCUACGGGUGGCAGCAGUGGGGAAUAUUGCACAAUGGGGGAAACCCUGAUGCAGCAACGCCGCGUGAAGGAAGACGGUGUUCGGAUUGGAAACUUCUGUUCUUAGGGAAGAAGAAUGACGGUAGCGAAGGAGCAAGCCACGGCUAACUCCGUGCCAGCAGCCGCGGUAAUACGGAGGUGGCAAGCGUUGUCCGGAAUUACUGGGUGUAAAGGGAGCGCAGGCGGGAAGCCAAGUCAGCUGGGAAUACUACGGGCUUAACUUGUAGACUGCAGUUGAAACUGGUUUUCUUGAGUGCAGUAGCGGUUGGUGGAAUUCCGCGUGUAGCGGUGAAAUGCGUAGCUCUUCGGAGGAACCCCGGUGGCGCAGGCGGCCCACUGGGCUUUAACUGACGCUGCGGCUCGACAGUGUGGGGAGCAAACAGGCUUAGCUACCCGAGUAGUC
rnacentral:rRNA from 1 species